rnacentral:misc_RNA from 1 species
AAGUCGUAACAAGGUUUCCGUAGGUGAACCUGCGGAAGGGUCAUUACCUAGAGUUGUAGGCUUUGCCUGCUAUCUCUUGCCCAUGUCUUUUGAGUACCUUCGUUUCCUCGGCGGGUUCGCCCGCCGAUUGGGACAAUUUAAACCCAUUUGGCAGUUGCAGUCAGCGUCUGAAAAACUAAUAGUUCAA